rnacentral:rRNA from 1 species
ACCUGCGGAGGGAUCAUUACCGAGUUAUCCAACUCCCAACCCCUGUGAAUUAUACCUUUAAUUGUUGCUUCGGCGGGACUUCGCGCCCGCCGGGGACCCAAACCUUCUGAAUUUUUUAAUAAGUAUCUUCUGAGUGGUUAAAAAAAAAUGAAUCAAAACUUUCAACAACGGAUCUCUUGGUUCUGGCAUCGAUGAAGAACGCAGCGAAAUGCGAUAAGUAAUGUGAAUUGCAGAAUUCAGUGAAUCAUCGAAUCUUUGAACGCACAUUGCGCCCGUCAGUAUUCUGGCGGGCAUGCCUGUUCGAGCGUCAUUACGCCCCUCAAGUCCCCUGUGGACUUGGUGUUGGGGAUCGGCGAGGCUGGUUUUCCAGCACAGCCGUCCCUUAAAUUAAUUGGCGGUCUCGCCGUGGCCCUCCUCUGCGCAGUAGUAAAACACUCGCAACAGGAGCCCGGCGCGGUCCACUGCCGUAAAACCCCCCAACUUUUUAUAGUUGACCUCGAAUCAGGUAGGACUACCCGCUGAACUUAAGCAUAUCAAUAAGC